CCUACGGGCGGCAGCAGUGAGGAAUAUUGGUCAAUGGACGCGAGUCUGAACCAGCCAAGUAGCGUGAAGGAUGACUGCCCUAUGGGUUGUAAACUUCUUUUAUAUGGGAAUAAAACGUUCCACGUGUGGGAUUUUGUAUGUACCAUAUGAAUAAGGAUCGGCUAACUCCGUGCCAGCAGCCGCGGUAAUACGGAGGAUCCGAGCGUUAUCCGGAUUUAUUGGGUUUAAAGGGAGCGUAGGUGGAUUGUUAAGUGAGUUGUGAAAGUUUGCGGCUCAACCGUAAAAUUGCAGUUGAAACUGGCAGUCUUGAGUACAGUAGAGGUGGGCGGAAUUCGUGGUGUAGCGGUGAAAUGCUUAGAUAUCACGAAGAACUCCGAUUGCGAAGGCAGUUCACUGGACUGCAACUGACACUGAGGCUCGAAAGUGUGGGUAUCAAACAGGAUUAGAUACCCGGGUAGUC
rnacentral:rRNA from 1 species